rnacentral:rRNA from 1 species
UUAAAUUGAAGAGUUUGAUCAUGGCUCAGAUUGAACGCUGGCGGCAGGCCUAACACAUGCAAGUCGAGCGGAAACGAGUUAUCUGAACCUUCGGGGGACGAUAACGGCGUCGAGCGGCGGACGGGUGAGUAAUGCCUAGGAAAUUGCCCUGAUGUGGGGGA